rnacentral:piRNA from 1 species
UAUCAAGGAUGGUCACAUUGAAGCUGUU